rnacentral:tRNA from 1 species
GUGAAUGUGGCUUAGUGGUAGAGUGCUUGCCUAGCAUGCAUGAAGCCCUGGGUUCGAUUCCUCAGUACCACA